rnacentral:sRNA from 1 species
UUUUUGCGGGAUCGCCGUCCGUCAGCGCGUUGCGCCCACGGGCGCCUUUCCG